CCGAAGAGCUAGUCAGAGGCCACCAUGCUCUUCCAACAACCCUGACGCUUGUAAACGGUGCUACGUGGCCUGACACAUGACAUGUGCCAAAUAAAUGUUUGCCUAACUGACAGAGGGCGGCUCCAAGUCCCUCACACGGCACACAGCAGUGAACCUCGGCCCACUCCGAAGCCAGCAGUGGGAGGCCCGAGAGACUGUUCUGGGCGUGGAAAGCCAACAUCAAGCUGUAUAUGGUAAAAAUGAUGCCUUUGUACCAAUCCUCCCUUCACGCCCUUUGGCCAUCUGUCGGCUUGAACUGGAAGAGAUGUGAGAGGUCAUGAAGCCAACCAUCCUUGGCGGAACGAGAAGGGAAGUAACUGGAUGUCGGAAGGGGCCGAGGGCUGGUCCCCGGACUCCUAGCCCCUUCCCCACAUCCGAUGACUGGGUCACCUGAGGAGGAAGAGGAGUUACCUUGAUCAGUCACAGGCGGAUCUGAGUCACCUCUAGUCCCUAACGUCAGAAGAAAGUGCAUCAGUGGCCUCUUCCCACAUCUUCAACUAUCAAAACAGACCUAUUUUCCUCACCCACCAGGAGGAGGUGAUUCGAAGUGAGCCAAGGCGGGAGAGGCGCUCCAAACAGCACACGCCCACUGCGAACGAUGAUACAGUUAUGAUCCUCGUCACCAUCAAAUGAGUGUGACAGCGCGGCCAUCUCUGCGGGUGCUCGCGGCUCAGCGCCAGCAGACACUAUGUGCUCAGUAAAUCCCAGCUGCUGGUGCUCUGGGCUUACUACUGCUUCUAAGUUUUCAAAGCCCUUGACACCUGUGUUUCACACACGCAGUUAUCACAGCCUGUUCACCACACGGGUUUCACCCCUGGGGUAAGACGAUGCUUUGCUUUUCUACUCUUUUUCAUUUGAUCACGAAACAUUUCAUUGGAUUUUCUCUGCUGUCCUUUUCAAAAUGAACUGACCGAGGCUCCUCCA